rnacentral:tRNA from 1 species
GGAGGUAUAGCUCAGUGGUAGAGUGAGUGCCUAGCAUGCAUCAAGGACCUGGGUUCAAUCCCCAGUACCUCUA